GGCCUCCUAAUGAUUACCACGGGCUGUAUUCUUUACACUGACUGUAUAGAAAGAGGAGGUAAGUAAAUGCUCUCCAUAUACACCUCAUAUACAGCCCUUUGCCUGGUCUGUAUUGUGAACGGGGGGACAAAA